rnacentral:rRNA from 1 species
GACGAACGCUGGCGGCGUGCUUAACACAUGCAAGUCGAACGGAAAGGCCCUGCUUUUGCGGGGUGCUCGAGUGGCGAACGGGUGAGUAACACGUGAGUAACCUGCCCUUGACUUUGGGAUAACUUCAGGAAACUGGGGCUAAUACCGGAUAGGAGCUCCUGCUGCAUGGUGGGGGUUGGAAAGUUUCGGCGGUUGGGGAUGGACUCGCGGCUUAUCAGCUUGUUGGUGGGGUAGUGGCUUACCAAGGCUUUGACGGGUAGCCGGCCUGAGAGGGUGACCGGCCACAUUGGGACUGAGAUACGGCCCAGACUCCUACGGGAGGCAGCAGUGGGGAAUAUUGCACAAUGGGCGGAAGCCUGAUGCAGCAACGCCGCGUGCGGGAUGACGGCCUUCGGGUUGUAAACCGCUUUCGCCUGUGACGAAGCGUGAGUGACGCUAAUGGGUAAAGAAGCACCGGCUAACUACGUG